CCGAAGCAGGAUCCAGACUUCGAGCUGUCAGCACAGAGCCCGACGCGGGGCUCGAACCCACAAACCACGAGAUCAUGACCUGAGCCGGAGUUGGAGGCCCAUCCGACUGAGCCACCCAAGUGCCCCAUCACACACCUGGUUUUUUUGACGAGGAAAUGAUACCUACUCUAUUUUAUUUUUUAAGUUAAUUCACUUAUUUUUAAAAUGUUCACCUAUUUUUGAGAGAGAGUGUGAGUGAACGGGGGAGGGGCAGAGAGAGUAGAAGACCGAAGAUCCUACGCGGGCUCUGUGUUGUCACAGAGCCCGAUGUGGGGCUCAGACUCAUGAACCGUGAGAUCAUGACAUGAGCCAAAGUCGGAUGCUCAACCGACUGAGCCACCCAGGGCGCCCACGCACAAAUAUCUUGUGUGCUGUUGUCAAAACCCUGCGUCUGCGGACCUGGAGAAGGCAGAGACCAAAACCCCACCCUGUAACCAGAAAUGCUGGGAGGACCCGCCACACCAGGGCCGACCACCAGGUGGCACUAGUGCUGAGCUAAUAUGGGCUCCGCUUUUCCGCUCAGCUUUCCCGAGAGGCCGCCGCAUUUAACAGAGGCUAGUGAUUAGCAGAUCUCCGCGCUGACCCCUGUUCAGGCCCAGGUGGCUCUGAGUCUGCAAGUGAAUCUCCGGCCAGACGCAGAUUUGUUCAGGAAAUUGGACAGCCAAGACCGCAGCUUUGGGUUGGAAAUGUGCCAUAGAGGGAUUUUUAAGAAAUUCUCGCCCUCAUGGAGCUUAGACUGUCUUCGAGAAGGAAGGCGGUGUGAGGGAAUCGGCACACAGCAGGACGCACAGUGCUUGUACUCGGUUUUCUUCUUCUUUCCGCUCUGCCCUUUGGUGGUCGGUCCACAGCCAGGACGUUGCUAUCACUUCUCUGCCGAGGGCUCCCUGGCAGGAUGCUCGCCUUCACCUCUCUGCAGAACUCUUGCCAACCUGAGGACCAGACCCUCGAUGUGGCUCUCUUCUCUCCACUCAGAAGGACGAGGAAGGGGAGGAGGAGGAGGAGGAGACCAGGAACAUCAGGUUCUCACCUACAGGAUCAGCUCUGCGGCAACCAACCAGGACCCAGGCUAAGCAGAGAUGAGAGCCGUUAAUCCCACCAGACUAACGCCUGAGAACUGGAAUCCGGGGUGGGGGGUGGGGAUCACAAGAAUAUGUCCUACUAAAAGCUCUCCUGUGACUCUGCUGUAUCGCCGGGUGAGGGAACCGAUGCACCAGGACUUGUCAUCAAGUUGCUGUACUGGAAAGUCUGAUCUAGAAGAUUUCAACUCUGAAAGUUUGGUUCAACCUGCUGUUCCACCGUGCCUCACCCUCUGGCCUUCCCCUUUGCCCUGAUGGUGCCCGGAGAUCUCAGUGUCCUUAACCACCCUGUUUGCUCAUUAGUUUUCCUGUCUGUUAGCAGUCUUGCCCCAGGGGGCAGCUCGGGUCCCUCCUGGUGUAGAUAACUAAUAAUCCACGUUGAAGCUAGAAGACCAGCACACAUCCCAGCAGGGUGUCCUUUUCGUUACUCAAGCUCAACGUAAAUGCAUUCACUGGGUCCUCCUCUCAAGCAGCUCCUUCUCCUGGCUUCUGUGUUUCUUUCUGAUCUUAGAUGGUAAUUCUUCUUGGGGCGCCUGGGUGGCUCAGUUGGUUGAACGUCCGACUCUUGACGGCUCAGGUCAUGAUCUCACGGUUCGAGAGUUCGAGCCCCGUGUUGGGCUCUGUGCUGACAUGCGAAGCCUGCUUGGGAUUCUCUCUCUCUCUCCCUCUCUCUGCCCCUUCCCCCUCAUUCUC